rnacentral:rRNA from 1 species
UACGUAGGGUGCAAGCGUUGUCCGGAAUUAUUGGGCGUAAAGAGCUCGUAGGCGGCUUGUCGCGUCGGCUGUGAAAACCUGGGGCUCAACCCCGGGCCUGCAGCCGAUACGGGCAGACUAGAGUGCGGUAGGGGAGACUGGAAUUCCUGGUGUAGCGGUGAAAUGCGCAGAUAUCAGGAGGAACACCGGUGGCGAAGGCGGGUCUCUGGGCCGUAACUGACGCUGAGGAGCGAAAGCAUGGGGAGCGAACAGG